AACGAACGCUGGCGGCAGGCCUAACACAUGCAAGUCGAACGCCGUAGCAAUACGGAGUGGCAGACGGGUGAGUAACACGUGGGAACGUACCCUUCGGUUCGGAAUAACUCAGGGAAACUUGAGCUAAAACCGGAUACGUCCGAGAGGAGAAAGAUUUAUCGCCGAGGGAUCGGCCCGCGUCUGAUUAGCUUGUUGGUGAGGUAACGGCUCACCAAGGCGACGAUCAGUAGCUGGUCUGAGAGGAUGAUCAGCCACAUUGGGACUGAGACACGGCCCAAACUCCUACGGGAGGCAGCAGUGGGGAAUAUUGGACAAUGGGCGCAAGCCUGAUCCAGCCAUGCCGCGUGAGUGAUGAAGGCCCUAGGGUUCUAAAGCUCUUUUACCCGGGAAGAUAAUGACUGUACCGGGAGAAUAAGCCCCGGCUAACUUCGUGCCAGCCGCCGCGGUAAC
rnacentral:rRNA from 1 species